rnacentral:rRNA from 1 species
CGUGUAGGCGGUCCGCUAAGUCUGAUGUGAAAGCCCGGGGCUCACCCCCGGAAGGGCAUUGGAAACUGGCGGACUCGAGUCCCGGAGAGGAAGGUGGAAUUCCUGGUGUAGCGGUGAAAUGCGUAGAUAUCAGGAGGAAUACCGGUGGCGAAGGCGGCCUUCUGGACGGUGACUGACGCUGAGACGCGAAAGCGUGGGAGCAAACA